rnacentral:lncRNA from 1 species
UUGACAGAGAGGAGCAAGGAGGGGUGAAACCCCAACUUCACAAAAUCCACAAGAAUUACUAGAAAUCUUAAGGAAAUCGAAAGAAUAAUCAUCAAAUUCUAAGCUCCUACACCUGUUCUUUGAAGUGGAACGUGUCAAGGAGAGCUCAAGCAUAGGAGGAUAACGGGUCAAGAUAAGGCAAGGUGACAAAUACACUUAUUGGAAUACUCAAGGUAAGUGAUUUCUAUAAUCACUUCUUUAGUUGUUUAAGUAAUAUAAUGUUUUAAUUAUUAAGUUCAUAUGAAGUUGAGGUUAAAUCAAUGGAUUAUUUUGAUAAAUGCACGAAUGGGUCGAAUAAUUCAUAGAUGAAUAACAAGCCGAAUACGUAUAAGUUAAGAAAUUCCUUAACUCGGAUGUUGGACUUCAAGAUCACGUGAUAGAAUAUUAAAUUACAAUCAUAUAGGAAGAAACGUGACGCAAAACGGACGAAAAAUGAGAGAGUUAUGUCCGUUUCAGUAAGGAUUAAUGGCUAGGAAAAGUGCAGAGUUGACACGGCCGGGUGGUGAACUGACACGGCCGGGUGAAGGUUCUGUCAAAAAUAUUAUUUAUGUGAUUUAUGCGUCGUAGGCUUCGGUAUAUUAUCCGUGAACUACGACGGGCCUCCCAAACAUGAUUUCGAGUGUUUCCUUGACGAUUAUAAGUUGUAAACCCAAGUCUAAGCCUCAUGUAAUUUAUAUAAGAGUGUGAUAGAUGUAUGUAAUGAAGUUGGACAUGUAUUACAUGUAAAUGUAUACAAAAAUACGUACGGAACACGUAGGUAUGAAUACAUGAUUGUAGGUAUGAUUAAAUGUAUAUUAGGUAUGUAGAUGUGUAUGAUUGUAAGUUUGUAUGUGUGCAAGUAUGUGCGAAUGCAUGAUUUGGAUGCAUUUGAGAAUUAGCGUUACUAAUAAUGCCCUUGGGUUUGGAAUAUAAGUUGAUUGGAUGCAUUUAAAUGGUUAACGUCCUUUUUAUGAAGAUGUAGUAAAUGAAUAUGUUGAGAUUACGGGUUUGGCUAACCAAGUUAUUAUUGAGUAUGUUUGAAAGUGCAGGUUAUGAAUGUCGGACUUUCGAAGUGUUGAUAUAAUAAUGAAACGGUUGAAUGUUGAAAGGAUAAUCGGAUUGAAGUAACUUAUGCGGUAAAUCCUCAAUUUUGGCGACUUGGAGAAUCGGAGCGAGCGCGUGUUCGUGUUAUGCGAUACCAAACGCUUCCGCUAGCUUGUUCAAAUGUUUUUGAUCCAAAAUUUGUUGUAUUGGUUUUUAGUAGUAUCUUGUUGAACGAAUUGUAGAAUUGUAUCUAGUUU